rnacentral:rRNA from 1 species
GUUGCUUUGGCGGGCCCACCGGGGCCACCUGGUCGCCGGGGGACGCACGUCUCCGGGCCCGCGCCCGCCGAAGCGCUCUGUGAACCCUGAUGAAGAUGGGCUGUCUGAGUACUGUGAAAAUUGU